GACGGAGGGUGCUAGCGUUGUUCGGAAUCACUGGGCGUAAAGGGCGCGUAGGCGGCCUCAGGUGUCGGAUGUGAAAGCCCGGGGCUCAACCCCGGAGGUGCAUCCGAAACCUCUGGGGCUGGAGGUCGGAAGAGGAGGGUGGAAUACCCAGUGUAGAGGUGAAAUUCGUAGAUAUUGGGUGGAACACCGGUGGCGAAAGCGGCUCUCUGGUCCGGACCUGACGCUGAGGCGCGAAAGCGUGGGGAGCAAACAGG
rnacentral:rRNA from 1 species